GAAUGCGCAGCCGCAGAAGCUUCUAUUCUGUCGGAUCUUUUUUGGUCCCAGAGGAGAUGGGAUGGAAGCAUCUUUCUUAUUUCUACAAAGUCGGCAGCGCCAGUCCUCUGUCCCGGAGGAGGCCUCCGUGAUGCUCAAGGAUGUGGCCAUAGAGGAGUAGAGGCUCCUGGACCCUCCCCAGAAGGAGCUGCUCUGGGAGGUGAUGCUGGAGAACUACAAGAACCUGGUCUGCCUGGGUGAGGAGGGCUCUCUGGGGCCUGGGUUCUGCCCAUGGAAGGGGAUCUGCUUCCUCGCACCAGGGGCCAUGUUUAAUGGUCAGCAUUGAGUCGUUGACCUUUAAAACAAAAAUACCAAAGCAUUUGUUUAUCACAGUGAGGCCAUGAGUCAGGGUGCCUGUGCUCCCUGGUCCCAGCUGACAGGCUCUGGAAACCACUGCUACACUGUGUGAUCCCACCCUAGCUCUCUGUUCCCUUGGGUCAGAGGUACUUAGGAAAGUCCCAGGGCAGUAUCUGAAGCCAGGAUGUCCCUGAGGUCUCAUGAACCCACUGUCUUUCUGAAGCCAUCUCCCUUUUGUGUCCCAUGGGAUCUCCUACCUCCACUCCUCCCAGCUUCUCUUCCUCUCUCCUUGCCUCAGUUAGCUUGUCUCUAAAGUAGGGUAAAUGUUCUUUGCUCCUUCCUUAGGGAUUCACUGAGGCUGGGUAACUUGCCCCUUUCUUGCGUUUCUCCCCUCAUUUUCCCUCCUUUCUUCUUCCCCACCCCUAUAUCCUAGGCUCCUUUUCCCUUCUUAUCUCACCUUUCCUUUGCUUUCUCUCCCCUCUCAUCUCUGCCUCCUGCUCCCCAAGCACCCUGUUCUGACAUGGAUUUCCCCAUGGACUCCCCCAUUUCUCUUUUGACUCCUUUCACCUUCAUCUUCCCACCUCCUGCCCUGCUGCAUUUCUGGGUCUUGUUCCUCCUGGGAAAAGAGCCUCAGGCCUCCCCUCUCUAUCCUUCCCACUAUUCCCAGCCCAGGACCCCCUCUUCUUCCUCUUCCUCUUCCUCCAGCUGUCCCUGCUCACUCCUUCCUCAACGGCCCUGACAUUUUGCAGAGCUGCUACUGGGCCUUUCUUUAUCUUUAACAUCUCUAGUACCUAGAACACAGUGUGACACACAGUUGGCAUUUCCUAAAUACUGGCUGAACUGACCCGGGUCCUGGAAACACUCCCUCUGGUGUCCUUUUGAGUGGGAAGAACUGGAGGCAUUCCCAAGGCAUAGGGAGGUCUGGGAGCUACAAGGAAGGGCCUAGUGCUCCUAUGGGUCUCUUUUUCUUUCUAGCACGACUUUCUCAGACCCCAUAGGAGUGGGAGCAGACCAGAGCAGGAAACACGGAGAGGUAGGGGAAGGGCCCCCAAGUUCCUCCCUCUAGGCCCCCCCAGGUAAGCAACUUCAUCCUCUUUCCUGAAAUGGUGUCCCAGGUCAUAUAGACAAGGUCUUCUCUCUCCAGUGCUCUCUGUCAAGUAGGGUCACUCUUCUGCCUUGGAACCUUCGUAGUAUUGAUUCUGUGGCAGAAGGUAAGGGUUAAAGAAACAAAGACAGACCUUGAUAAUGAUCGGUCUCAUCACUUCCUGGAAAAGAGGAAGAAGAAGUGGAAGCAAGGUCAGAUGUUAUAUUCUUGGGAACUGUGGCAUUUAAAAAUCAGUUUUGCUGCUAGAAGUAUUAUAUUUUAUGAGGUUUAUUAAAGAUUAAGAAUUUAAGAAAAUACAAGUAAGAAAGCACAUGCCUAGGAGGGCCGAAAGGCCCAUUUAAUUUCACUUACAUCAUGAGAGACCCGUCUGCUUGGAAGAGGAAGUAGGAAAAGAGCUCAGUAGGCUUUUAUAGCCAGUUAAAUAGAAAUUUUGAUCUUGCGCAGGUGGGAACUCAGGUGAGACUAGAGGGCAUCCUGGGAACUAGAGCAAGGACUUCUGGGAAUUGAGAUCCGGGUUCAAAUCUCCAUUUUUACAGCUUUGUUAACUUGGAAAAAACCACAGAAUUAUUAAAUAGUCAGGAAAACCAAGUCUUUAAUUAGGAGACAGAUAGUGUCCGCUAUUUGGCCCCCACCGGUAUUUCUGAGAGGAGAGCUAUACUAGGUAAUAGCUCCAAAGAAGGGCAGAACUUGGGGGUAUUUUAUACCCUCUGGAGAACUUGGUACAACAAGCAGGCAUAGACAAACUACAAGCAGGCUGCCAAGAAGUCUGCAGCCAGCCUGGGGUGAUCAAGAAGUGAUCAACUAUAAGAAUUACAAAGGAAAGGGUCAAAAUAAGAACUGGGCUCCUGGAGAGGGGACUUUAAUACAAUGGGAGAAGCUUGACUAUGGUCACUAGUCCCACCCAAACUAAGGUCCCCAAACAGUUGUAAGAAUUAAAAUUGGUUUGACUCAACAUGAGAGUUACAAAAGUGAGAUUGUGGUCGCCAUUUAUAAAAUAUUAGCCCUUAAGUAAAAAAUGAUGGUUAGCAGCUUUUAUUUACAACAAGGUAGAGAUAUUGAAAGUGGGAAAUGUAGGAAGGAGACAGAGCCUUGUCUAGCCUCCCUCCCUAAGUGCUGCUCCAGUGAAGUCUGGCUCAGCCCCCGGCAGGGGCUCUUUCAAGUCCAGAUCUCCACGUGGAAGUCCCCAUGGUGUCAUUAGCCAGGAGUCCACCAACACAAGGCUCUUCCUUCAGCCUGAGUCACUCACACAGCAUGGCUCUCCAGAGCAGAAAGCUCCAGUCCAGAACAAUUGCAGGAGAGGGUGACUGCCUCCAAGAAUCUCACGAGCGCUCACACUGAAGAGAGUUUCCCACCAAAGCACCAACCAAGAAAGGGUUUUCUCACCAAAGAACCAAGGAAGCAAAGAGAGAAUCUUGUCCUUCAGUCUUGCCUUUUAUAGUCCUUUUCCUAAGUCACUUCCUGUCUCUCUCCGACUUCACAGGAACCAAUCACAGCCUCCCAGUUUGCCUAUGUUAUGAUUAUAAUGGGAAAUGGAGAUAGGAUGGGUAGGAGCAGGGAUGGAGGAGGUGAAGGGAUAGUAGGGUUAGUGUGGUGGAGGAGAAAGAAUCACUGGGGUUGAGAGAUGGUCUGGGUAAUUCUCUCCUUUCCUCACACUUCAAACACACAAGAGAAGUACCCCUGAGUUGAUGUUGUGGCAAGGAUGAACAGGGGCUGUGUCUCAGUAAGUAGGCUUCUGGGGCACUUUGGAGUUCACUUGUCCUCAGGACUUGUGCCUGAGCCCCUAAAAGCCCCACUUGUCAGGCAGGCUGAACAUCCCUGUUUGUUCUUUUGUUGUUUAACAAGGCUAAAUGGUCAGCCUACCCCAAUACCCUCCCUUUUCUCCUAACUCUCUUCCUCAACUUCUGUAACGAUUUAGAUCUGACUGUGGGUUUCUUCAGAACAAAGGUGGUUUAAUAGUUCAGGUAACAGAAGUGGGGGGGAUAGGUCAGUGGGAAUAGGAAUCCCUACAGGUUGUCACUUCCUUCUUCAACCCAACCAAAUGGAUCAGGCUUCAGCUUCUCUUUUCCUCCUUCCUCUCUAAUCACUUCACUAUCCUACUCUAAACAGGUCAACAGUGUCCUUCUUGGGAAGGUAUUGGGAUGGGAUGGGUCUUUGGGGUGACCCCCAUGAAGUUCAAGGAAUCAGUUUCCUUCAGCAGCAGUUGUUCUUUUGUUUUCUUUAAUCAGUGAUUCAAAGGUGUCAGGGAUCUUCUGUCUUCAGGCAAGGGGAAAUGGAGGCAAGACUCUGGCACUACAGGUUGGGGUCUCGAGCUCUUGUCCUUAGCCCCUGUCUCUAAAGAGUUCACAAGGCAAAGACCCCUUUCCAAACUCAAUCCCACAAGCCCUUUCUGCUCCUCCAAAUGCCACUCCCCCUCAUGCCAACAUUUUAAAAAUGGUUCCUCAGUCUCAGUUUCCCUUUCCACACCUAGCACUGACCUGAACUUAUGAAAUAGCCAUCCCUACUUUGAUCACCUGCCCUAAGUCUCUCCCCACUCCAUUCUAUCCUGCACUGGCACUAAAGUGAUUUUUCCAUAGCACAGAUCUGACUGUGCCCCACUCAGUGCCCCUCAGGAACUUCCAGUGGCUCCCUGUUCCCUCUAAGAUCAAACAGAAAAUACUUUAUUUGGUCUUUAAUGCUCUACAUGCAGACGCUUCCUCCCUUUGCCAUGGCUUUGUGCGUUCAACUCAGUGGGAUCCAGCCAGACUUAGACAUGAUUCUCCAUCUCUUCCCUGCUAGGAAUGCUUGUCUCUCCUCACCUUCCCCUCUUGGAGUUACUCAUUCCUUAUUAUUUCAAGAUUCAGCUGAAGCCCAACCUUUUACAGAAACCCACUUCUGCCCCCUUGACUGCUAGUGCCUUGCAGGCCCCAAUGAAGACUGGUUUGGCUUUUUCUUGGGGUCCCCAUCCAGUUCCUCAGUGCUUGGCAUGUGUUCUCACAAGUGCCCGUUACUGGGUUCUGCUGCCUUUGGGAGAUGUCCAAAGGGGAGCCUGAGUUGUUGACUGGGAGGCAGCAUGGUCUGCUGGGAAGGGCUGUGGAUAGGCCUGGAGACAAGGGGGGGACAGCUCUGACCCUAUCUGCGUAACCAUGAGAAAUCCCCCCAGCCUUCCUGAGCCUCAGUUUGCUCAUAGGGACAAGGAGCACUUGCCUUCCCAGGGAGGUGGUAAAGAAAGUGUUGGCCAGACCUUAGCUAUCACCAGUUAUGUGCGUGUCAUCUCCCUCUUAGACUGCAAGCUCCUUGAUGCCAGGCUCUGUGUUGGCCCGCCCUUUUUGGUGUUGGGGCCAGACCUGAUUUGGAAGGAAACUAAGAGGGAUGGACAUAAAGUCCAAAGUGGUUCUAGUUGAAGGACAUUCUCUCCAGUGCACUGGAUUGUAGAGGGGAAGAUAUCAAAACUUCUUUAUUUUCUAUAUUAUCUCAAUAAAUAUCAUUUUAUAGAAA